rnacentral:misc_RNA from 1 species
UCCGGUUUGUCACCGGCAGUCUCGCAUGAGUCCCCGGCCGAACCGCUGGCAACAUGCGACGGGGGUUGCGCUCGUUGCGGGACUUAACCCAACAUCUCACGACACGAGCUGACGACAGCCAUGCAGCACCUGUGGACCAGCCCCGAAGGGAAGCCGACUUUCACCGGCGAUCUCGUCCAUGUCAAACCUAGGUAAGGUUCUUCGCGUUGCGUCGAAUUAAACCACAUGCUCCACCGCUUGUGCGGGCCCCCGUCAAUUCGUUUGGGUUUCAGCCUUGCGACCGUACUCCCCAGGCGGGGCACUUAACGCGUUAGCGCCGGCACGGAGGGAGUCGACACCCCCCACACCUAGUGCCCAUCGUUUACAGCGUGGACUAC